GCCAACCACNGAAAAGCCAUCUCAGUUCGGAUUGUAGUCUGCAACCCGACUACAUGAAGCUGGAAUCGCUAGUAAUCGCAGAUCAGAAUGCUGCGGUGAAUACGUUCCCGGGUCUUGUACACACCGCCCGUCACACCAUGGGAGUUGGAAAUGCCCGAAGCCAGUGACCCAACCGUAAGGAGGGAGCUGUCGAAGGUGGAGCCGAUGACUGGGGUGAAGUCGUAACAAGGUAAC
rnacentral:rRNA from 1 species